rnacentral:rRNA from 1 species
AACGUAGGACGCAAGCGAUAUCCGGAGUUACUGGGCGUAAAGGGCGUUUAGGCGGCUGUUCAAGUUCGUCGUGAAAGACCCCGGCUCAACCGGGGGUGGUCGAGGGAGACUGAACAGCUGGAGGACGGUAGAGGGACAGGGAAUUCCGGGUGUAGUGGUGAAAUGCGUAGAGAUCCGGAGGAACACCAGUGGCGAAGGUGCUGUCCGGGGCCGACCCUGACUCUGAGACGCGACAGCAUGGGGAGCGAACGGG